CCACGCUAUAUUAAAGUCUUCCAUUGAGGCACUUUGAAUGGAUCCUGGGACGGGAAUAGCAGCAUUGUUAACGAGGAUAUCAAUUUUUUCGAAGUGCUUCGCUGUUUUCUGCACCACAUCUGCGAC
rnacentral:lncRNA from 1 species